CCUGCGUAAAAUGGAUUCGUCUGCCCAAGGAUGGGUCUGCGGCCUAUCAGGUAGUAGUGGGUGUAAUGUACCUACUAGCCUACGACGGGUACGGGUUGUGAGAGCAAGAGCCCGGAGAUGGAUUCUGAGACAUGAAUCCAGGCCCUACGGGGCGCAGCAGGCGCGAAAACUUUACAAUGCGGGAAACCGUGAUAAGGGGACACCGAGUGCUAGCAUCAUAUGCUGGCUGUCCAGGUGUGUAAAAUACACCUGUUAGCAAGGGCCGGGCAAGACCGGUGCCAGCCGCCGCGGUAACACCGGCGGCCCGAGUGGUGAUCGUGAUUAUUGGGUCUAAAGGGUCCGUAGCCUGUUUGGUCAGUCCUCCGGGAAAUCUGACAGCUUAACUGUUAGGCUUUCGGAGGAUACUGCCAGACUUGGAACCGGGAGAGGUAAGAGGUACUACAGGGGUAGGAGUGAAAUCUUGUAAUCCCUGUGGGACCACCUGUGGCGAAGGCGUCUUACCAGAACGGGUUCGACGGUGAGGGACGAAAGCUGGGGGCACGAACCGGAUUAGAUACCCGGGUAGUCCCAGCCGUAAACGAUGCUCGCUAGGUGUCAGGCAUGGCGCGACCGUGUCUGGUGCCGCAGGGAAGCCGUGAAGCGAGCCACCUGGGAAGUACGGCCGCAAGGCUGAAACUUAAAGGAAUUGGCGGGGGAGCACA
rnacentral:rRNA from 1 species